UUGCAAUGAUGAUGUAAUGAAUUUCUUCACCUGAGAAUUUUAAUGAAGACCUUUUAAACGAGCUUUUUAAACCUGAGCAAA